GACGAACGCUCGCGGCGUGCUUAACACAUGCAAGUCGCGCGAGCGGCGGACGGGUGAGUAAUGUAUGGGGACUGCCCGAUAGAGGGGGAUAACUACUGGAAACGGUGGCUAAUACCGCAUACUGUCGAAUUACCCAUAUGGGAUUAGCUAGUAGGUAAGGUAAUGGCUUACCUAGGCGACGAUCCCUAGCUGGUCUGAGAGGAUGAUCAGCCACACUGGGACUGAGACACGUCCCAGACUCCUACGGAGGCAGCAGUGGGGAAUAUUGCACAAUGGGCGCAAGCCUGAUGCAGCCAUGCCGCGUGUAUGAAGAAGGCACUAGGGUUGUAAAGUACUUUCAGUCGGGAGGCGUUACCGACAGAAGAAGCACCGGCUAACUCCGUGCAAGCAGCCGCGGUAAUUC
rnacentral:rRNA from 1 species